rnacentral:rRNA from 1 species
AACGCGAAGAACCUUACCCAGGCUUGACAUCCUGUGAAGGUCUCCGAAAGGAGACUGUGCCUUCGGGAAUACAGUGACAGGUGAUGCAUGGCCGUCGUCAGCUCGUGUCGUGAGAUGUUUGGUUAAGUCCAUCAACGAGCGCAACCCUUGUAGUUAGUUGUAUUUUUCUAACUAAACUGCCCUGGUAACAGGGAGGAAGGAGGGGAUGAUGUCAGGUCAGUAUUUCCCUUACGUCUGGGGCUACAAACACGCUACAAUGGCCGGUACAAAGGGCUGCCAAGUCGUGAGACGGAGCAAACCCCAUCAAAGCCGGUCUCAGUUCGGAUUGUAGGCUGAAACUCGCCUACAUGAAGCUGGAAUCGCUAGUAACGGUAGGUCAGCACACUACCGUGAAUACGUUCCCGGGCCUUGUA